UGACCAUGUUUUUAUUGCAAUCUACAUCCAUGAUUUCUCCUUGCCAUUAGAAGUGGUGUGGAAGUGCUGGGAAGGGAAGAGCGUGGUCCCUUUAAAUGAUAGGGAACCGAGGAAGGGAAGUGCUGAGUAGGGGAGGGUGUGGUCCCUGGCUAGGGCUCCACCCCCACGGGCCCAGGUGAGGACAGGCACUCCUGCUUUCGCCGGCUGUUGCAUUUUCCAAGACCACUGUGGCCCACCAUGCCCCCGUCCUGGGCCUAUAAAAACCGGAGUCCCUAGCACAACAGAGACACAAGCCGCUGGACGUAGAGAGGAGCACAUUGGCGGAAGAAGGCGCAAGCGGCUGAUUGUGGAGAGGGCCUCCAGAGGAGAGCGCGGGCAGAAGAGCAGGACAGGCACCCGCUGGCCGGGAGGUCAUUGACUGGCAGAACGACGCGGAAUUUGGCUGGAGCAGUCGGAGGAGAGCCCAGGACGCCCAGCAGCCCGACUCCAGAACAAAACCAUCUCCCUUCUGGCUCCCCCAUCUGCAUCCUUGCUGAGCCUUACUUCUACUCAACAAAGCCUUACACAUUCUCGCAGCCCACGUGUGAUCCGAUUCUUCUGGUACACCAAGGCAAGAAACCCCAGGAUACUGAAAUCCCUCUGUCCUUCUGAUAAGGAAGGGAGUCUCAUUGAGCUGGUUAGCACACGCCGCCUGUAGACGGCAAGCUAAAAGAGCACCCUGUAACACAUGUAACACAUACCCACUGGGGCUUCAGCUAUAAACAUUCACCCUAGACACUGUCUUGGGGUCGGAGCCCCACAGCCUGCCCAUCUUUAUGCUCCCCUAGAGGUUUGAGCAGCAGGGCACACCCUCAUCGCACGCCCUGGGAGGGGGACAAGGGAACCUCUUCCAUUUCAGAAGAGUGGUGGUAGCUCUUAAAACUGUGAUCUGGGUCACUGUUCUCUGCAGCCAGCACAGAUGUGUACAGAGAUGAAGGCACGUGGUCUGCAGUGACACUCGGGCACUAGGUAAAUGAUGAGGACAUUUACAAAUGGUAUUCGAUAGGUAAAUUCAUAAGUGCCAACGGGUAACCAGAAUUCUAUGUCCCAGAAACUGGUGGUGCACUGAACUUUCUCCAUUCUCCUUCCAGAUCCCCUGUCGGCAUUUCUGUCUUCUUUUCUGAGCUCAGGAAGCUGACCUCUGCAGAUUGCAUCAAGUGGGUCUGAGACCCCUUUCCUUUGGCUUUCUUGCGGUUUCAGCCAAUGACAACCACUGUAGCAGAGCAGAGGGGGACUCAUUCUGCUGAAAGCCACAGCUCCUAUCCGGUGGUCUUAGAGCUUGGUAGGUCCUGUAACUACCUGCAUCCUUGCUUGUAGGUUUAAGGGUGGCAGUCACUUCCCUUUUGCUAGCCCCAGAGGGGCUUUACAGAGUCUUGGUUUCCUUGCCCUUACUUUCAUAUAACCUCCUUUUAUUUAAAAAAACUGUUUAAUUAUCACAUUUGAGUGUCUUCUUUUUCUGGCACAUGCAGCUAUGUAGAUUAAAGGGGUAACUGUACUUUAAAAAAAAUCAAUAAAUCAGACUUUU
rnacentral:lncRNA from 1 species